rnacentral:rRNA from 1 species
GACGAACGCUGGCGGCGUGCCUAACACAUGCAAGUCGAGCGAAUGAAGUUCCUUCGGGAAUGGAUUUAGCGGCGGACGGGUGAGUAACACGUGGGCAACCUGCCUCAUAGAGGGGAAUAGCCUUCCGAAAGGGAGAUUAAUACCGCAUAAGAUUGUAGUAUCGCAUGAUACAGCAAUUAAAGGAGCAAUCCGCUAUGAGAUGGGCCCGCGGCGCAUUAGCUAGUUGGUGAGGUAACGGCUCACCAAGGCGACGAUGCGUAGCCGACCUGAGAGGGUGAUCGGCCACAUUGGGACUGAGACACGGCCCAGACUCCUACGGGAGGCAGCAGUGGGGAAUAUUGCACAAUGGGGGAAACCCUGAUGCAGCAACGCCGCGUGAGUGAUGACGGCCUUCGGGUUGUAAAGCUCUGUCUUCAGGGACGAUAAUGACGGUACCUGAGGAGGAAGCCAUGGCUAACUACGUG